UCCUUCGCGGCAGCCUCCUGCACAAAUCUUCCCAGCCCCGUCCGCUGCUGGGGGCCGGUAGCUCCUAGGUGGACGGCCCGAGACGAACUCGAGCGUUUGGGCGGUCGGAGCUGAUCCCUCGCCGACCAGCGAUCAGAAUCCAUCCCGCUGACGUUCGAACCCGUUGUCGGGAGCCACCUGGCGGCCAAUUUUAUAUUACCCCUUCCCUUCUGAGCUCUGGCGACCUUCGCGAGGGAUGUGACUCGCCCCCCAGGCGCGGGCCAGAUUUCCUUGAGGCCGGCGACGCUGGCGGCGACCAUCCCGGUGGUGCGGAGUGAUGGGCGCCUCCUGCUCUCACCAGAGAUUGAAUGUGGAGAGAUGUGUGUUGUGGGGCUGGCGCUGAGCUCCCUCGCAGGUUUCUGGGGAGGUCUGCGCCUGUCGACCAGCAGUCUCUGGUGCCCCUUGGCGCCCGCGGAGACCUCACGUCCUGUUACGCGCGACCACGAGAGGAUGUCCGUGACCAGCGUCGUACACCGUGUGUCACGAUCCGUCGGUGCCUCCUCGCCGGCUGGGGGCCCGGGUCCAUCAUGGUGCAGUCCUGGCGGUGGGGCUGCUCAACGGGUUCCACUUCAGUUUCUCCGGAUUCCACUCGAGGCGGUCACGAGGGCGGAUCUUGCCCUGAGGCAGGGGCACAGGAUGCGGGUCAACAGACAGGAGCCACCCGGCAGAUUGAACCGGCGUCUAUGCGGGGAGCUCUCGUCCCCACCUUGGUGGCCUCGUCAGCGUGGCGCUUGCGUUUCGAAACUGUUCAGGUCCCCUCACCUCGGACUUUCGAGGGCAAGCGUGUAGGGCGCUCCUGGAGGGGCGGCAGUUCCUCCUAGGCUACGGUGGUCGUAAGUCGUUGUCGUUUCUCUUUGGGAAACAGGGACCGCCCGGAGCAUCCGUGAUGGUCGGGAGGAGACACGAGCCUGGCCGAGGCCCUGGGUGGGCGCGGUUGUCGGUAGCUUCUCUGAAGAAGCUCUGCAGACAGUGAACGGCCUACAGACGUGCGGGCGCAGGGGAGGACACCCCAGGGCGAGAAAGAGGACCGAUGGUGGCCUGAGUCGAGGCCGGUUGUCAGGAGCGUGGCGUUGCGCCUUCGCCCGUGUGCAAUCUGGAUACUUCCUGUUGAGGUUCACACCAGUUGCACGUCACUUGGCGUCUGCAGCGACAAGGUCGACCAGAAGGCCAGAUUUCGGUAUUCGGUCAAGAAGAAAAUUUAAUGAACUCUUUUUGUCAUGAGAUUCACUACAAUGUGAACAUUAGUGAAAUAAGAAAUCCUAAGAUUUACAAGUCUUUGAUUGGUUGAAGAUGAUGAAGAAGGGUUUUGGGAUGCAGAAUUUUCUAAAUCCACCUGGAAGCCUGGGAACCUCUCCCUCCAGCCACAAGGCCCUGCCCCACACCCUGCAGAAACCAAUCUGGAAAACCAGACUCCAACCUCUGCAGCAAUAGACCCGAAGGGUCAGGAUUUGGUCAGUGACUCACAGCUUCGUCAUUUUCAGUCCUUUCCAUGUAGAACCAAAUGCGGGGAAAGCCAAAUAUAUUCCCUUAAGUAAUCACUUAGGACGACCCUCUUCCUAUCAACUUGUCUCCAGCCUCCUCACAUCAAAAGCUCUGGGGAGCACAUGCCUUCCUUUUUUUGCCAUCAGAAAGUGUCCCCACUCUUAUGUGUGCCCUGAGUCUCAGCCUGAUGUGAGUGGUGGUGGCUGACUCCCGUGCUCUAUAGACAAGUUCUCAGUAAAUAGUGCUUGUUCUCA